rnacentral:lncRNA from 1 species
GUGCUCUCUCUCUGCCUGACUAUGUCUCUGCCUGGGAGGACAGAGAACUGCCCUCCCCAACUCGCUGCUCCCUUCUUGCCCAGGAUUUGAAUGGGCAUUGUUGCUUCUCAAGCUCUGGGCAAAGGAGAAAAAUCCCUGGUCACCUGUGCAGAACAGACGUGAGUGAGACUCUUACAAGGCCACCUGCCCAGCCCUGGUGGCUCCUAGUCCAGGACAUGGAAAAGGGGCUGCUGCCCAGAAAGCCAGGAGGGCGAGAAGACCUUGAGAAUGUCCAGAACACUGAGAACUGGAUUAGGACCUAGAGGCACUGGGCCCCUGGAGCCUCAGAAGGAUCAGAUCCAGAAAUGGAAUUGUGCUGUCUGCAUCCUCUCCCGGCCAGAUCAGUGCAGAAGUUUACUCUGUGAAUGACUCUCCUCUAUCUGCUGUCAAAAACUACCACCUACUUGAUGGCUUUAAACGGCAGAAAUUUAUUCUCCCACAGUUCUGGAGGUCUUGCCACGUGCCCACAGCAGAAGUCACACCUUUGAGGUGGAAUGAGUCACACAGUCUUGAGGAGC